CACGGGGGGAGCAAGCGUUGUUCGGAAUCACUGGGCGUAAAGGGAGUCUAGGCGGUCAGGUAAGUGGGAUGUGAAAUCCCUCGGCUCACCCGAGGACCUGCAUCCCAAACUGCCGAACUCGAGUAUGGGAGAGGAUGAGGGAAUUCCUGGUGUAGCGGUGAAAUGCGUAGAUAUCAGGAGGAACACCGGUGGCGAAAGCGCUCAUCUGGCCCAAUACUGACGCUGAAGCUCGAAAGCUAGGGGAGCAAACGGG
rnacentral:rRNA from 1 species